UCCCAAGUGAGCACUGACUCUCAUAGUCAU
rnacentral:piRNA from 1 species